rfam:Strongylocentrotus purpuratus Contig52067_fixed, whole genome shotgun sequence.
AAACCGGCUCUUUUCAGAGCCACUACAUUUCCAAGAAAGAUUCAG